AUGAUGAGAUUAAAGGACUUUUCUAGUAGGAUACAUGAAUAAUUGAACUAGAAGGAUAUAGGUAGUCUGGGAACUUGAUAUUGGCAUCCGAGAUUUCAGAGAUGGUGCAAGGUGUCCCAGGGUGCAGCAAUAAGUGGAGGUAACUGAAAUAGAGGGAAGGAAAGAUCAUAUGAGACCAAGAGGUGAAGAAACUGAGAUGCCAGAGAAUUAAAAUGGUAUUUCCUGGGAAUGCUGGAUUUACAAAGAGUGACAGAAUUUGGAGUGGAAAGGAAGCCUGGGAACAAGGGAAUGAAGAAGUAUGGCCAGGAGGUGACAGAGAUGAGGAAGCUCUCCAAACACAGUCUGGAUCCUCCCACCUCUGAACUCUGCCUCCAGUGCUCCCUCAUCUGAGGUGCCCUAUUUAAGCCCCCAACUGUCUUUAAUGCUUGGCCCAAAUGCACACUCUCUGCAAAAUCCUACAAGACAUCUCCAGUCAGAAACAACAGAUCCUGCUUCUGAUUUCAUAAGAGAGGCAGAUGAAUGGAAGCAUUGAGGCCAAACUACAGCUUCUGCAAAUAGGCAAGAAGCCUGAACACCUACUCACUUGUCUCUGAUUUAUUUGGAAACAAAGAAGGGAGGAGGAGAAAGAGAAGAAUCGGACAGGUAUUUAAGGUCUUCCUGGACUCACCAGUCAGCACUACCAUCUGGAAUAUGAUUAAACAGCGUGCGGCGCGUAGGAAGAC